rnacentral:rRNA from 1 species
UACGUAGGGGGCAAGCGUUAUCCGGAUUUACUGGGUGUAAAGGGAGCGUAGACGGCUGUGCAAGUCAGAAGUGAAAGCCCGGGGCUCAACCGCGGGACUGCUUUUGAAACUGUGUAGCUAGAGUGCAGGAGAGGUAAGUGGAAUUCCUAGUGUAGCGGUGAAAUGCGUAGAUAUUAGGAGGAACACCGGUGGCGAAGGCGGCUUACUGGACUGUAACUGACGUUGAGGCUCGAAAGCGUGGGGAGCAAACA